UCAUCAUCGGCGCCAGGAACACCGAAGCUGCCAGUGAAGUAAAGCAGAGCAUUCUACAGAGCACCCCAUCUGCUAGAAUCGACAUCAUACAGAUAGAACUCAGUUCGCUCAUGUCCGUCCGAGCCUUCGCCGAGAAGUUUCUUGUCAUGGAUCUUCCUCUAAACAUCUUGAUAAACAAUGCCGGCGUCAUGUACUGUCCGUUUCAACUUUCGGAGGAUGGGAUAGAGAUGCAGUUUGCUACCAAUCAUGUCGGUGAGUAUCUUCUUCACCAUCUCAAAACGACUUCAUUUAGUAAUCGUAAACGAGCAAUUCUUUUUAA